GCCAGGCGUGGUGGUGUGUGCCUGUAGUCCCAGCUACUUGGGAGGCUGAGGUGGGAGAAUCACUUGAACCCGGGAAGCAGAGGUUGCAGUGAGCCAAGAUCGUGCGCCACUGAACUCCAGCCUGGGUGACAGAGUGAGACUCCAUCUCAA
ensembl:misc_RNA Metazoa_SRP Metazoan signal recognition particle RNA